CGGGUUAAGUUGAGCUUUGGUAGAUUGCAUACGAUUGUUUCAGCUGCAGCAACGGAAAAAGCUGUUUUUAAAACAAUUGAUUCCUAAGCUAUAAAUAUGAACAUCUCGCUUCGAUGCUUCACUUGCAAAUUCAAAAUGAACAAGUUACUGCUCAUCACUCUGCUGCUCGGACUUCUCUGUUUGGUUGACGAAGGAGAGUCAUAUUGUUGGAGACGUCGUCGUUAUCGGCGUCGUCGCCAUUGGUACCGUCGUCGCCAUUGGUACCGACGUCGCUCCGGUGACAACGGUGUUGACGAGUCAAAGGAAGUUGCGGACGAAGAAAAUGAACCCGAAGAGGAACAAGACUUCGACAUCGAGUAAAUGAAUAUAUGCUUUCCAUAGAAACAGAAGUCGCAGCUCACUGGAAAGCAUAUUUUAAGACACUGCUUUAAUAAAUUGGCAACAUGUA